AGGGCGGCGUGCUUACACAUGCAGUCGAACGAUGAUGCCCAGCUUGCUGGGUUGAUUAGUGGCGAACGGGUGAGUAACACGUGAGUAACCUGCCCCUGACUCUGGGAUAAGCGUUGGAAACGACGUCUAAUACUGGAUAUGAUCGCCGGCCGCAUGGUCUGGUGGUGGAAAGAUUUUUUGGUUGGGGAUGGACUCGCGGCCUAUCAGCUUGUUGGUGAGGUAAUGGCUCACCAAGGCGACGACGGGUAGCCGGCCUGAGAGGGUGACCGGCCACACUGGGACUGAGACACGGCCCAGACUCCUACGGGAGGCAGCAGUGGGGAAUAUUGCACAAUGGGCGAAAGCCUGAUGCAGCAACGCCGCGUGAGGGAUGACGGCCUUCGGGUUGUAAACCUCUUUUAGUAGGGAAGAAGCGAAAGUGACGGUACCUGCAGAAAAAGCACCGGCUAACUACGUGCCAGCAGCCGCGGUAAUACGUAGGGUGCAAGCGUUGUCCGGAAUUAUUGGGCGUAAAGAGCUCGUAGGCGGUUUGUCGCGUCUGCUGUGAAAUCCCGAGGCUCAACCUCGGGCUUGCAGUGGGUACGGGCAGACUAGAGUGCGGUAGGGGAGAUUGGAAUUCCUGGUGUAGCGGUGGAAUGCGCAGAUAUCAGGAGGAACACCGAUGGCGAAGGCAGAUCUCUGGGCCGUAACUGACGCUGAGGAGCGAAAGCAUGGGGAGCGAACAGGAUUAGAUACCCUGGUAGUCCAUGCCGUAAACGUUGGGCGCUAGAUGUAGGGACCUUUCCACGGUUUCUGUGUCGUAGCUAACGCAUUAAGCGCCCCGCCUGGGGAGUACGGCCGCAAGGCUAAAACUCAAGAAAAUUGACAGA
rnacentral:rRNA from 1 species